rnacentral:tRNA from 1 species
UGCGCUCAUAGUUCAGUUGGUUAGAAUACCCGCCUGUCACGCGGGUGGUCAGGGGUUCGAGUCCCCUUGGGCGCGCCAU